rnacentral:rRNA from 1 species
CUUCUCUUGAGAGCGGCGGACGGGUGAGUAAUGCCUAGGAAUCUGCCUGGUAGUGGGGGAUAACGCUCGGAAACGGACGCUAAUACCGCAUACGUCCUACGGGAGAAAGCAGGGGACCUUCGGGCCUUGCGCUAUCAGAUGAGCCUAGGUCGGAUUAGCUAGUUGGUGAGGUAAUGGCUCACCAAGGCGACGAUCCGUAACUGGUCUGAGAGGAUGAUCAGUCACACUGGAACUGAGACACGGUCCAGACUCCUACGGGAGGCAGCAGUGGGGAAUAUUGGACAAUGGGCGAAAGCCUGAUCCAGCCAUGCCGCGUGUGUGAAGAAGGUCUUCGGAUUGUAAAGCACUUUAAGUUGGGAGGAAGGGUUGUAACCUAAUACGUUGCAAUCUUGACGUUACCGACAGAAUAAGCACCGGCUAACUCUGUGCCAGCAGCCGCGGUAAUACAGAGGGUGCAAGCGUUAAUCGGAAUUACUGGGCGUAAAGCGCGCGUAGGUGGUUCGU